GUCUCCGUUGGUGAACCAGCGGA
rnacentral:rRNA from 1 species